GGCUAACAAAGCGCUACCAAACAUAUCCUUAGAUUAAUAAAAGACACGAGUCUGAAAUUAGAAAUCCAUUUCAAUACAUGGUGAUGCUUUGAACAUAUCACCAUCGUAGGCCUUAUUACACAAUUUUUUUUAAAAAAAAAUCAUCUGACACCAAAUAUAUUUGUCCAAAUACAAAUACUGAACUUUUAACUGGCGGGAUCUUAUUUAUUUAUUUGGUUCCAACUGACCAACUCACUGAAGCACUGAACGUAUCCACUAUCCAGCAUAGUGCAUCCACAAUCAAGUAGAUUUACAGAUACAUAUAGUCAUAUUCAGUACGUUCAGGUAGAACCAGCGGCCGCAAUCCAUUUAGCCCGAAACCCCUUGUACUGCUCCAGGACCUUCCCCGCGUCCGGCGUCACCUUCUUCACGGCGUCCACGGCCACGAACCGCUCCGCCCACGCCGCCAAGCCCGGGAACUUGGCCCCGUCCAGAAGGUCGGUGCCUCCCACCUCGUCUACCACUCUGAUCCAAAUCAGGUGGCUCCCGAGCGCGAUGUCCACGAUCCCGACGGCGUCGCCGCCGAAGAACGCCUUCCCCCUGGAGCACUCCGCGAACGCCCGUUCCAACGUCUCCACCGCAGGGACGGCGCUCUGGAGCGCCUCCGCUCUCUGCUCGUCCGUCAGCGAUCUGAACAGCACCCUAAACGCCGGAAAAAACUACAAACAGAAGAUUGAAGCGCUGAUAACUUGAUAAGCCAUGACUGAAAAAACAUCAGCGAACAUAGCGAGGCUGAUCUGAUCGAAGGCCAGAAAAUCGAUUCGUUUCCUCUGCUGCUUACCUUGUCGUUGACGUAGGCCGCCCAGAACCGUGCCGUGGCGCGGUCGUAGGGGUCGGCUGGGAGGAGCGGAGGAGGACCGGUCGUCGUCGGCCACGACUCGUCGAGGUACUGCAGGAUCACGAGCGACUCGCGCACCGGGCGGCCGCCGUGGAUGAGGACCGGCACCUUCUUGUGCACCGGGUUGGACCGGAGCAGGAGGUCGCUCUUGUUGGCGAGGUCCUCCUCGAGGUAGUCGUAGCUCAGGCCCUUGAGCCCCAGCGCCACCCUCACUCGGAUCACCCAUGGGCUCGACCAUGUGCCCAGCAGGAGCAGCUCGCCGCCGGCUCCUGGCGCUGCCAUUGCAGUUUGCAGAGGUUUGCUUCGUGGUAUCGUGUGCCGCUGAGUGGUGGUGGGGAUCGAGUUGUAUAUGUACGAGUGUAUGAGGUGAUGACCAAGGUUUGACUAGCAGCAGCGAGUCGAGAACUCGAGAUUCAUGUGGGCGACUUGGAAUUUGUGGGUGGUCCUUUCUCGUCGCCAGUCGCCACUGCUUGUUGGAAAAGAGGUGCCGCGAUUGCGCCAGCGCUGUCGUGUUUUAGGAAAGGAUGUUCUGCGCGCCCAUUGUGCCCGUGGAGGAUUUGGGACUGAGUGAACGAUGGGAAGGGCAGCGGUUUCUAAAAGUCAACGCUUCUUCCAGCUCCGUAACACCAGUCUCGAUUAAUAAUUUCACGGCGAUGUCAUAUAGAAUAAAAUAAAACUUAGAUAAAAUAUUUUGUCCCAAUGUAAAGUUUCAUUCAAAACUUCUACUGAGACUGCUCUCUUAUAAUUCUGUCACACUUCCGUAGCUAGUGAAUGGUUGUGCAUAUAGUGCUAACAACUUUAUAAUAUUUACACUUAUAUGGACGUUGUUGGAUUCACCUCAAUCCACAUGUGUUGAUAUGAUUUAGGAUUCAAUCUACCUAACACAUGUGGAUUGAUGUGAAUCUGUAAACAAGGUCUUAGAUGUUUUUAACUUCAAAGUGAUAUAUGCAAAUAGUUUGUUUAUUUUUAUUGUAACUGUCUACUCUAUGUACCGCACUGCAUUCAUCAACAUAAACUCCAUUUAGGUAGAGUCGACUAAUUUAUUGGCUAAGUUAUUGUCGUCUCUCCUUUUUCUUUUUCACCACUCCUACCCAUGGUUGUGCAACUUGUGUAGAGGCAAAAUCGAGUUAGCUAUUCAGUUUUGUUUCGACGAGUUAGCUCCAUUCCUCGAUAAAACCAGGAUUCAAAUCUCUUAAAAAAUUAUUUUAUCCUUCGCCCUCUAUUUAAAUUUAAAUUUUAGGUUCCCUUGUACUUUCUCAUACGGAUCCAUAGUUCAGUUUUUGUCCUAAAACAUGGCGAGAUUUGUCACAAUGUGUUGCGCAUGUCUACUGGAGCCACUUCUGCCUUCCCAAACGAAUAGUGGAGUAUUAUUGACGCCAAUCAACUGCUAAUCUUAGAAUUAUUGAGACGGUGACGUUUCCAGGUCGUUGCAAAUUUUUUUCGUCAACACACACAGCACUGUCCUGCUGAAGGGAGGUAGAUGCAGAGCAUGAAGCGGGCAGCAUCUGGUGGGAGAGUGGAAGAUUGAUGUGCUGAUCAAGAAUCGAUUUUUUUAGGCUUUGUUUAGUUCGUAAAAAUUUUCAAGAUUUCCUGUCACAUCAAAUCUUUGGUCGCAUGCAUGGAGCAUCAAAUAUAGACGAAAAUAAAAACUAAUUGCACAGUUUAUCUGUAAUUUGUGAGAUGAAUCUUUUGAGUCUAGUUACACUGUGAUUGGACAAUGUUUGUCAAAUAAAAACGAAAGUGCUACAGUAGCCAAAAACCAAUUUUUUUGCCAACUAAACAAGGCCUUAAUCUGAUCAUGAAUCAGGUUUGGCCUGAGCAAGUCAGGCUUCUUAAGGCUCCGUUGGCUUUUCUUAUCAUCCAACAAACAGUAAUUUUCGACUGUAUCGAUUUCAGAGAAGGAUGGAUGAUGCAUUGAUCAUCUCACCAUUUGUCCAUUUCGUAUGUCUUUUAGACAAAUUCGCAGACCACUUGACACCAAAUACUUCUCCAAGUACAAAUACUCCAAUUAAGCAGGUGUUACAACUUCGGAGUACUGGAUCUCAUGGAUUUAUGGGUCAGACACCGGCUCACUGAAUGCAAGUAGGCACACAGUGUGUUCAGCUAGAAUCAGCUGCUGCAGUCCAUCUAGCCCGAGACGCCCUGUACUGCUCCAAAAGCUUCCCGGCGUCCGGCACCACCCUGUUCACGGCGUCCACGGCCAUGAACCGCUCCGCCCACGCCGCCAGGCAAGGGAAUUUGGCCCCGUCCAGAAGGUUGGUGCCUGCCGUCUCGUCCACCGCUCUCAUCCAGAUCGGGUGGCUCCCGAGCGUGAUGUCCACGAUCCCGACGGCGUCGCCGCCGAAGAACGCCUUCCCCUUGGAGCACUCCCUGAACGCC
rnacentral:lncRNA from 1 species